AAACGUAUGACUGUAGUGGUCAGAGGGCUUGGACGGUUUCCAAGAGGCGCGGGUUCAAAUCCCGCUAUGUAUU
rnacentral:tRNA from 1 species